GACAGAGGUGCCGAGCGUUAGGCGGAAUCACUGGGCUUAAAGCGUGUGUAGGCGGGUCGGUAAGUGCCUUGUGAAAUCCCACAGCUCACCUGUGGAACUGCUUGGCAUACUGGCGAUCUUGAGCCACUUAGGGGCAACCGGAACAAACGGUGGAGCGGUGAAAUGCGUAGAUAUCGUUUGGAACGCCAAUGGUGAAAACAGGUUGCUGGGAGUGUGCUGACGCUGAGACACGAAAGCCAGGGGAGCAAACGGG
rnacentral:rRNA from 1 species